rnacentral:rRNA from 1 species
AUUGAACGCUGGCGGCAGGCCUAACACAUGCAAGUCGAGCGAGCGGCGGACGGGUGAGUAAUGUCUGGGACACUUCCUGAUGGAGGGGGAUAACUACUGGAAACGGUAGCUAAUACCGCAUACCAUCAGAUGUGCUCAGAUGGGAUUAGCUAGUUGGUGGGGUAACGGCCUACCUAGGCGACGAUCCCUAGCUGGUCUGAGCGGAGGACAGGCCACACUGGAACUGAGACACGGUCCAGACUCCUACGUGAGGCAGCAGUGGGGAAUAUUGCACAAUGGGCGCAAGCCUGAUGCAGCCAUGCCGCGUGUAUGAAGAAGGCCUUCGGGUUGUAAAGCACUUUCAGCGGGGAGGCGUUACCCGCAGAAGAAGCACCGGCUAACUCCGUGCCAGCAGCCGCGGUAAUUC